GACAGAGGGGGCAAGCGUUGCUCGGAAUCACUGGGCGUAAAGGGCGCGUAGGCGGGAUGGCAAGUCGGUCGUGAAAUCCUUCGGCUCAACCGAAGAACGUCGGCCGAUACUGCCGUUCUUGAGGGAUGCAGAGGAGAUUGGAAUUCCCGGUGUAGCGGUGAAAUGUGUAGAGAUCGGGAGGAACACCGGUGGCGAAGGCGACGUCCUGGACCGGCAUUGACGCUGAGGCGCGAAAGCCAGGGGAGCAAACGGG
rnacentral:rRNA from 1 species